rnacentral:rRNA from 1 species
AUGAUUGCUCUUAUCGGUAUGGCUCCUACCGAGGAGGAGGGAGAAGAGAAGAAGAAGAGGGAAAGGAAGGCAGCUGGAGCUGCUUUCACGUGGAUUCAAAAUAACUUUGCGACGUGCCCUCCGGAUGCAACUGAUGAUGUGAUCCAGACACAUGCUCGUGUGUAUAUGUGGUACAUUGUGUCGAGGACUUUGUUUCCUGACUCCACUGGCAAGAACGCUCCAUGGAUGUGGCUGAAGGCGUUGACCGUCUUCGAUAGCAAAUGGAGCUGGGGUUCAGCGACUCUUGCCUACUUGUACCGACAGGUAGUUGGUCUGUUUUGUGAUCAACUCAUUUAUUCAUUAGCAAUGCAAGCUUGCUGUUAA